UACGUAGGAUCCUAGCGUUGUCCGGAUUUACUGGGUGUAAAGGGUGCGCAGGCGGACUUAUAAGUCAGUGGUGAAAUCUCGGCGCUAACGCCGAACUGCCUUGAUACUAUAAGUCUUGAGUUGGUAGAGAUCGUGGAAUUCCGAGUGUAGCAGUGAAAUGUGUAGAUAUUCGGAAGAACACCAGCGGCGAAGGCAGCGGAUUGGCCAAUACUGACGCUCAGGCACGAAAGCAUGGGAUCAACAGG
rnacentral:rRNA from 1 species